CUGGCCCUCCACAGCCCAGGCCCCGCGGGUGAGGGGGCUGCAGGACGACUCGGUGGUGGAGGGCUACAAUCUGACGCUGGAGUGUUCCGCCGAGGGCCUGCCGCCCCCCGAGCUGGUGUGGUACAAGGACGGCGCACCCCUCACCUCGGGACGGCACGUGCGCGUCCGAUCCUGGACCAAAAGGCUCAAGAAGAGGAGAAAGAGCCUCGGGCGCCACGCGAGGAGUCCCGCCGUGGUAGGGGUGCAGGCUGAGUCAAAUGGGAGGGCGCCGUCCCCCCCUGAGGAGUCUGAGGCGGCGGCAUGAUCCCAGCAGACAUGCCAGCACGAGCGAGGCUGUGGAGAGGAGGAGGGCAAGCAGAGGAGUCCGGAGGGGAAGAAAAGGAAAAAUAGUGGCCGAAGAUAGUGAAAGAGACAGAAGGAGGCGACAAGGAAAGCGAGAAGAGAGACGACGAAGAAUAGGCCGCGACGGAAGGCGACGAAUAUUACCGACGAAUGACGACGACGCGUCAAGCCCGGCGACGAGGAGACGACAGGCCGACGCCGAGAGGUGGAACAAGGACAGCGACGCGACACCAGCAGGCGGGGGCAGCAAGAAGUCCGGGCGGCGGGGGCGGCGACCCAUCACGCCCUCCCAGCAGCGCGUGGUGCAAGUGUCCGAGGUGAAGAUCCACGACACCUCGAGGCGCAGGGACGCGGGCCAGUACAAGUGUGUGGCGCGUUCCGUGGUGGGCGAGGCGGAGAUAGAGGCGAACAUACGAGUAGUGCGGCCCAUCAACCCCCCACACGCUGGUGGAGAAGUGCCCCUAUGACGGUUAUUGUCUCAACGGCGGCACCUGCAUGAUGUUCACGGUGGUGGGCGAGCUGGUGUGCCAGUGUGCAGAGGGCUUCAAGGGCCAACGCUGCCAGGAGAAGGAGGUGUACCCGACCUUCAUGCUAUACCGCCGCCCCUUUGCUCGGGAGCGAGGGAGGAGGGGCUUUGUGCAGGGCGGGUAGUGUCUGGUCUGUCCGCAAAUCGAAACUGCCACGGCCCCAUCAGAAAUCUGCGACAUUCCCAGGGCCGCCGCUGCCCCCGCAACCAGCCCGCCGCCCUCUGGGAGCUCCUGCAGCAGACCCUUGCCCUCAGGCGACAACACAAAGUGACGCCUUGGACCAAGACACAGCUCCUCCUCUGGCCAACCGCCCGUCCCAGAGCCGUCACUUGGCCCCCAUAGACUGGCUCCUACCGCUCCCUCCCUCGCCCCAGUACACUUAUCCGCUCCCACAAGCUGACUCGUUCGGACCCGCCCUCUCGUCCCCGCCCUUCUCUACAACUGCAGACUUUCCUCGGUAUCCCUUGGACCCUUCCCGCGGCGGGCUCCACACCAAACCCCACCAGAAUCUCCUGACCACCUUCACCGCCCACCACAGGCUUCUCGGCGCUCCUGUCUUCAUCCAUUGUCCUUACUAAGCUGCUGUGAGGCUACAUCCUCCCCAUGGACAGAGGCCGCUGUCGCUAAACGCAGGCCAGCCCGCGUCCGUCGACGACUCCCUCCCUGGGCAGCGGCACCGUCAUCUCCACCACUCCAGUCCUCCAUCGUGCAGGACCCCAGAGGAGGCUGGUCCCCGUUACCAGUAGGAAUUCGCCCCUCAUCCAGGGACCACACGCCCCUAGAGGCUACAGACGGAAACACCCGGCACAGGCGCCCCACUCCACCCUUGCGUCACUCCCUCUGGUGAUGCAUUCCUUUAUGCUGGAGCAUUGCCAUGUAGCUGACCUCGUUCACAUUAGUAGUAGCAUCAGCAACGUCAACAGUAGCAGCAACAGCAGCCUUUAAGUAGCACCACCCAGCUAGGGUCAGCCCGUCACCGCUUACCUCUUAGCGUGGACACAGGUCGCCCCGCGCUAUCGCGCUGUGUUUUAGUCGCUUUAUCGGUUUCAGAAAAGUUUUAUGUCGUAAGAGUCUCUCGCCGAUGAUGAAGCGUCACACGCGGGCACUGCACGCAAUACUCACUUGUACUUACGGAACACCGCUGCUCCCAGGGGCCUAUUGCUCCUGAAGCCUCUGACGGCAGGCGGCGGUGGCGGUGGCGAUGGCGGCAGUGAGCGUUAAAAGAGCCCGUGCGGGAGGGAGGGUAGCGAGGCGCCGCAGUGUAGUGUAAGCAAGCCAAAGAAACCAGUAGUCAUAGAUGUAAGCAGCCCGCGGUGGGUCCACGGAGCCUCCCUCAGGGGCAGGGCGGCCUCCCUUCCUCCCGCGGUGGCCCAAGGGAGUUGAGUGACACUCGGCAGAGGACGAGUCCCGCCCCAGUCUGCUGCCUGACCGCGCCGCGAGGCUGUACGCUGCCGCCGUGCGGGUCCAUAAUUAUGAAGGUGGCAGCCGGGGAUCAAAGAAAAGAAAAAAAGACAUGUAUACUUGUACAUAACCGUGUAGACUAUAAAAUAAUAUGUUGAUAGUGGUGAUGUGUUGAAAGAGCUUGAGGUGGAAGGUGGGCGGGCGUGAGGCGGCAGGCGCCACGCAGCCCAAAACAUGCCCUGCCCAUCCAGCCGCCCUUUGCAUUUAUGAUGGAGGAGGAGCGUCGACCAGUGACUGUCUGUUCUCGAUGUACAUAGUUGUGUUCUGCCUCUGCAUGCCAUUGUACAUUUCCUCCGUAGCCACGCGAAUCACCCGUCGGUUGGCACCAGCUCCUCCCCAUUACCUGUCUACUGAAGCAGACCUCCGUGACCGUGGCCGCAGAACCUGGCUGCUUGUCCCACUCGGCAGGAGAAGACCCUGCCCGAAUGUUGACGUGGUGACUCGCAGUUAAGGAAGUCUGUGUCUAAUUGACUCCCGUACUCCUGCCUAGUCCACAGUACUCCGACAGAAGUUUUGAGUUCUUGCAUCACCGGGAGUUUCAGGGCGGGGCGUCAUUGCCUCUACCGCCCGUCUGGGUUUCUCCUGCGUCCCGAACAGUACACUGACUUUUUUUCCUGACUGAGCCGCUGGCUGGCUCAGGUCCACGAGUUAUGUAUGGCACGAGAGUUAGCAGAGUGUUUCCUGGCACUGAUAGUGCCGAGCCACCAGAGGCUGAAUGACCAGCCUGCCUGGCUGCAGGCUGGUCCGGCGCCCCGCAGCAGUCACGUCCUGCUGUUCAGGGAAGCAGACCACACGCAGGCCGGGGCCCCGCGGACCUUGGCAAACUUGCAGCAGAACAGUGACGUAGCAUAGUCUUGGACCAUCCCGGCUAGCGGCCUGCAUCCCCAGGGCCGGCAGCACCAGCAGGCUGUCCAGUCACACAACACCCUCAGACCAUGGCCGCAGUAAGGUGAUCACCGUCCGUCUCGCCGCCGAUACGUGUCCUGCAAGACCCAGGGCGCCAAGCAGGGUCUUCAGGAGUGAAGUAGUCACACCAUGAACUGAUUGAGGAAGACGAUGGUCCACUUGCGGCAUCCCUCCGCCCUGUCCUGCCCCGCCCCGUCCCGCCCCACAGGGCCCGGGUCAGGCGUUCAGCGGCCCCCACUUUGGCGCCGCCCGUAGCUCCGAGCAGAGGGUGGUGGUCCCCUCCGCCGCCUCGUUAUGAUUCCACUUGCCACAAACCAACUACCUCAGUUGAUAGUGUACAGUCGUAAAGGCGCGAGUCCUGCGUCAGGGCGCGGGGCGCCUCUCCGCCCUGCACCGGCCGCGUCUCUCGUAUGUUGUGUUGCUCUUGUUUUCGAGGUCACAGAGGCGCUGGUUUUAAUUACUUGUAUGUAUGUGUCAGGCCGCGGCGGGGCCAUGCACGCGGCAGACACACUGGGUCCCGCGAGGCUGUUAUUCAGUGAAUUUUUAUAUUUUUUUAUUUGCUGAGGACCACCACCCCAGACCCUCACCCCGCGGGGCGCCGCCCAAGGAGCGUCCAGCGGGUGUUGCCCGGACUGUAUCUAGUGUUGUAACGAUCGUAAACUAUAUAGGCGUUAAUAGAUGUUUUAUUUAUUUUUGCUGCCCACUGUGUCAUAAUUAUGUAGGUGAUGCUUACUUUGUGUAGGCCACGUGCUGACCGUCUAGUGUCAUUUGAAAUUUACAAGAAAUUCUAAAAAGUCCAGUAUAUGUAAUGUAAACUGUAAAUAUCAUUAAUUAUAUUGAUGUGUGUCGUCACGAACGAAUCUUGCCGCAGAUGCAUUUAUGUGACUUGUACGAUGUUAGAGAAGCCAAAAAAAUAAAUCACAUUAGGAUC